CAUGCAAGUCGUGCGAGAAAGUAUCUUCGGAUAUGAGUAGAGCGGCGGACGGGUGAGUAACGCGUAGGAAUCUACCUAGUAGAAGGGGAUAGCCCGGGGAAACCCGGAUUAAUACCGUAUACCUCCUUCGGGAGAAAGAAGGCCUCUCUUUGAAGCUUUCGCUACUAGAUGAGCCUGCGUAAGAUUAGCUUGUUGGUGAGGUAAAGGCUCACCAAGGCUACGAUCUUUAGCUGGUCUGAGAGGACGAUCAGCCACAUUGGGACUGAGACACGGCCCAGACUCCUACGGGAGGCAGCAGUGGGGAAUAUUGGACAAUGGGCGCAAGCCUGAUCCAGCCAUACCGCGUGUGUGAAGAAGGCCUUCGGGUUGUAAAGCACUUUAAGCAGGGAGAAAAAGUUAUAAGCUAAUACCUUAUGACCUUGAUGUUACCUGCAGAAUAAGCACCGGCUAAUUCCGUGCCAGCAGCCGCGGUAAUACGGAAGGUGCAAGCGUUAAUCGGAAUUACUGGGCGUAAAGCGCGCGUAGGUGGUUUGUUAAGUUGGAUGUGAAAGCCCUGGGCUCAACCUAGGAACUGCAUCCAAAACUAACUCACUAGAGUACGAUAGAGGGAGGUAGAAUUCAUAGUGUAGCGGUGGAAUGCGUAGAUAUUAUGAAGAAUACCAGUGGCGAAAGCGGCCUCCUGGAUCUGUACUGACACUGAGUGCGAAAGCGUGGGUAGCGAACAGGAUUAGAUACCCUGGUAGUCCACGCCGUAAACGAUGACAACUAGCUGUUGGGAGACUAUGUCUUUCAGUGGCGCAGCU
rnacentral:rRNA from 1 species